rnacentral:rRNA from 2 species
GAACGCUGGCGGCGCAUUUAAGACAUGCAAGUCGAACGAAAAUUUACGCUUAAAGAGUUGAUUAGUUUACUAAGAGAUGAUUUAUUGUAAAUUUUAGUGGCGGACUGGUGAGUAAUACAUAGGUAAUCUGCCUUUUAGAGGGGAAUAACUAGGAGAAAUCCUAGCUAAUACCGCGUAAGACCACACUUAGGCAUCUAAGAGAGGUCAAAGGAGUAAUCCGCUAAAAGAUGAGCCUGUGGCUGAUUAGUUAGUUGGUGGGGUAAGAGCCUACCAAGACGAUGAUCAGUAGCCGAGCUGAGAGGCUGGCCGGCCACAUUGAGACUGAGAUACGGCCCAGACUCCUACGGGAGGCAGCAGUUGGGAAUGUUGGACAAUGGAGGAAACUCUGAUCCAGUGACGCCGCGUGAAGGAAGAAGGUCUUCGGAUUGUAAACUUAUUUUAUCAGGGAAGAAGAAAGUGACAGUACCUGAAGAAAAAGGACCGGCAAACUACGUGCCAGCAGCCGCGGUAAUACGUAGGGUCCAAGCGUUAUCCGGAUUUACUGGGUGUAAAGGGCGAGUAGACGGCGCUGUAAGUCAGCUGUGAAAACUUAGGGCUCAACCUUAAGCCUGCAGCUGAAACUGUAGUGCUAGAGUGCAGGAGAGGUAAGCGGAAUUCCUAGUGUAGCGGUGAAAUGCGUAGAUAUUAGGAGGAACACCAGUGGCGAAGGCGGCUUACUGGACUGUAACUGACGUUGAGGCGCGAAAGUGUGGGGAGCAAACAGGAUUAGAUACUCUGGUAGUCCACACCGUAAACGAUGGAUACUAGGUGUAGGCGAGAUAUCGUCUGUGCCGGCGCAAACGCAAUAAGUAUCCCACCUGGGGAGUACGGCCGCAAGGUUG